rnacentral:ncRNA from 2 species
UUUUAGCCCCGAUAGAAGUGGAAAUCCUUUUGCUUUUUUCUUUAAAAAGGAAAAGAUUGCAGCGAAUAGCGGGAUCAGCU